CUUUUCCUUUCCCUGCUUCGUCCAACGUACUUCCUGGUAGAAGAGUGAUGGUAGAAGAGGAUGGGAACGUAGCAAUAUAAAGGAUGCAUGCAUAAUUGUACACACUUACGUCUCUUCUAUCACAACUGCCUUCCUUUCAUGCACUGCACCAGCUGAGCACAAUCACUGAAAACUGCACCUUUUUUAUUUCUUUCUGGAGCAGAAUUAUUUUUUUGUUAAUUUGUCUUGAACUAGAUGAUAGUGGUCACAGUGAGGUAGAAUUUGAUUAAGAAGACCUCCAAGGAAAUUGUCGACAUCUCAACAGUGAUGAAGAAUUUCAGAGAAAAGUGAUGGAAAUGCUAGUGGAAAUGCGUGAGGAUAUCCGCUCAUUGAAGAAACGGGAUGCAGAAAAGUACGAAGCAACUAAAAUUCAACAAGCGUCAACUGUUGAGGCUCUAAACCUCCUUGAUAGAUCCCUCAACUCCCUGGAGGAAAAACAGAAGCUGAUUAAUGCCUUGUCCAGGGUGGGAGGAGUCCACUUGAAAGACAAUGUUAAA